AGUGGGGAAUAUUGCACAAUGGAGGAAACUCUGAUGCAGCAACGCCGCGUGGAGGAUGACGCAUUUCGGUGUGUAAACUCCUUUUAUAUAGGAAGAUAAUGACGGUACUAUAUGAAUAAGCACCGGCUAACUCCGUGCCAGCAGCCGCGGUAAUACGGAGGGUGCAAGCGUUACUCGGAAUCACUGGGCGUAAAGCGCAUGCAGGCGGUUUAUUAAGUUGGAAGUGAAAUCCUAUGGCUCAACCAUAGAACUGCUUCCAAAACUGAUAAACUAGAGUCUGGGAGGGGAAGAUGGAAUUAGUAGUGUAGGGGUAAAAUCCGUAGAGAUUACUAGGAAUACCAAAAGCGAAGGCGAUCUUCUGGAACAGUACUGACGCUGAGAUGCGAAAGCGUGGGGAGCAAACAGGAUUAGAUACCCUGGUAGUCCACGCAGUAAACGAUGAAUGUUAGUCGUUGGGACUCUAGUAGUUUCAGUGAUGCAGUUAACACAUUAAACAUUCCGCCUGGGGAGUACGGUCGCAAGAUUAAAACUCAAAGGAAUAGACGGGGACCCGCACAAGUGGUGGAGCAUGUGGUUUAAUUCGAAGAUACGCGAAGAACCUUACCUAGCCUUGACAUACUACAGAAUUUGACAGAGAUGUUGGAGUGCCUUCGGGAGCUGUAAUACAGGUGCUGCACGGCUGUCGUCAGCUCGUGUCGUGAGAUGUUGGGUUAAGUCCCGCAACGAGCGCAACCCUCGUCCUUAGUUACUAACGGUUCGGCCGAGGACUCUAAGGAGACUGCCUUCGUAAGGAGGAGGAAGGUGAGGACGACGUCAAGUCAUCAUGGCCCUUACGGCUAGGGCAACACACGUGCUACAAUGGUUAGGACAAUGAGAAGCGAUACCGCGAGGUGGAGCAAAUCUAUAAACCUAAUCUCAGUUCGGAUAGCAGUCUGCAACUCGACUGCUUGAAGCUGGAAUCACUAGUAAUCGUAAAUCAGCUAUGUUACGGUGAAUACGU
rnacentral:rRNA from 1 species